rnacentral:rRNA from 1 species
CAGCAGCCGCGGUAAUACAGAGGGGGCGAGCGUUGUCCGGAGUGACUGGGCGUACAGGGCGCGCAGGUGGUGUGCGACGUGCCGUGUGACAACUGACCGCUUACCGGUAAGAGGCCACGGCAGACGCGCACGCUAGAGGCAGUGAGAGGGAUGUGGAAUACCCGGUGGAGCGGUGAAAUGCGUAGAGAUCGGGUGGAACACCAGCGGCGAAGGCGGCAUCCUGGCACUGAACUGACACUGAGGCGCGAGAGCGUGGGGAGCAAACGGGAUUAGAUACCCCGGUAGUCCACGCCGUAAACGAUGUGGAGCUGGCGUCUGCGGGUGAUUGUGCCCGUGGGUGCCUAAGCUUACGCGAUGACUCCACCGCCUGGGGACUACGGCCGCAAGGCUAAAACUCAAAGGAAUUGACGG